GCUAAUUUAUGUUCUGUGCGAUGUUUUAGUGGGAUUGUUUACAAUGUAACACACAAUGUAACACACGGAUGAAUAUGAAAAUAAUGAUUCAUCUAUAUUUUAACAGAUUUGUGUAAUUACGUAAUUUUCCUACAAAUAUGUAAUAAUAGUUCGUUACUAUUUGAAAAAUAUCACCCUCGAACUAAUAUUAGGGAAAAACGCUUCCAAGCAUUGACUUGGCAAAUAUCCUUCACCCCCAUUGACUCGAGGUAAAUAAAGCGCCCAUGAUUAAACAACAUGGUGGUUGACAGUAAUCUGGGUUAGCAAGAAAUGUAGACAUUCAUCUCUACAUCUUUGCAAACCACUUAGUGCUGAAUUCUCGGGGGAAAAAAGUAAAUUAGCUAUCUAUUCUACUGCUGAAAAAACAACGGAUUUCCGGUUUCUAGUUGUUCGUUGAUCUCAACGACAGAAUGAGCAACAUCUACAUUCAAGAGCCUCCAUCAAAUGGAAAGAGUGGUGCCAGAGUUCAUUGUCCAAGGAGGAGAUCCCACAGGCACCUGGAGGGUGGAGAGUCCAUCUAUGGACGGCAGUUCAAGGUUAACCUUCACUGUUUCAUCACCUCAUUAUCUCGGAUCAUGUUCAAUCCCCCCAAAAGAUAAGACUAGACAUAAACAGAAUUCUUCUACUUGGAACCUUUGCCAACUCUCCCAUACUACUGCUACUAAUGAUAACAUGGCCAACGCAGGGCCCCAUGACAACGACAGCCAGUUCUUCUUCACCCUUGGCCAGGCAGAUGAGCUCAACAACAAACACACCAUCUUUGGAAAGGUGAUACAGUGUACAACAUGCUCAGGUUAGCAGAAGUGGAAUGUGAUCAGGAGGAAAGACAUUUAAAUCCACACAAGUUACGAACCACUGAGGUGUUACAUUCUCCCUUCGAUGACAUCAUUCCACGUGAAACAAAAAAAUCCCAAAAGGAUAAAGACAAAAAAUAAGGCAAGAAAUCUGUCCAAAGCAACAGUGUUUAAUUUACUAUUAUACACACUUUCUCUGCUCCUCACUCUCAAUCUGUUGCUGACUUGGAAGCGUGGCACUGUAGUUAUGAACAGUCACCCAUACUUGUUUUGUCAGGAACUUUAGUCUGUUGUCAUUCGGAGAGGAAGCUGAGGAGGAGAUGGUAACUCAAGUCAGCCAGACACUGAAGGGGAAAAGCAAAAGCAGUCAUGACCUGCUGAAGGAUGUUCCACUGCUUAGCUCUGUCCCCACAGUCAACAAGGAGAGGAUGAUGAGGCUGCGGAUGGUGAUGAAAAGGAGUAUGACUCUGAGAGGCAGGAAAUGAGGGAGAGGAUCUCUAAGAAGAUGGAGGAGAAGAAGAGUACAGACCCCAGUGAGGAGGACAGAGGGAAGAGGACCAACUGCAGGUUGAUUACACAAAAAUGAUAUACCAUCCACAGCAUAGCCUAAAUGCCUUUUACACACCUAUUUUUAAUUUGAGGAAUGUUUUCUCACAUGUUACGCUAUAAUAGCAUUGUUUACGUUGCUUGUUCAUCAGUGUUCAGAGUUUAUGCCACUUUUUAUUAAAGGCCCAAUGCAGCUGUUUUUAUAUUAUUAUCAAAUAAUUUCUGGAUAACAGUUAAGUACCUUACUAGCUAGGUUUCCAUCCAAUUGUCGACAGAUUUUUAUGCAUAAAAACAAUAUUUUCCCACCAGAGAUGUGUUUCUGUCAAAUUGACUUGUUGCAGAUUAAAGGUGAUGAUAUAGUGCACAUAAAAAUACCUUUUGCGGUUAAAUUUC